rnacentral:rRNA from 1 species
GAGGAAUAUUGGUCACUGGGCGCGAGCCUGAACCAGCCAAGUAGCGUGAAGGAUGACUGCCCUAUGGGUUGUAAAAUUCUUUUAUAAGGGAAUAAAGUGAGUCACGUGUGCCUUAUUGUAUGUACCUUAGGAAUAAGCACCGGCUAACUCCGUGCCAGCAGCCGCGGUAAUACGGAGGGUGCAAGCGUUAAUCGGAAUCACUGGGCGUAAAGCGCGCGUAGGCGGCUUUUUAAGUCGGACGUGAAAGCCCUCGGCUCAACCGGGGAAUUGCGUUCGAAACUGGGAGGCUUGAGUCCUGGAGAGGGUGGCGGAAUUCCGGGUGUAGGAGUGAAAUCCGUAGAUAUCCGGAGGAACACCGGUGGCGAAGGCGGCCACCUGGACAGGUACUGACGCUGAGGCGCGAAAGCGUGGGGAGCAAACA